AAUCAGACGGUCUGCUGCCUCCUUUAAUCACAGUCAGGGAACCGGUGGGCUCAGUGUUGGGCUUCUGCUGUUAGGCCAAAGAGCACAGCUUAGUGUGGAAGGGAGGCACUAUGGACGUAGUUGCUGUCUGGUUCACGGCCAUCUUAUUUAUUCUGCCUCUGACUGCCGGCUGGGGACCUGAAUCUGAGGAGUCCAGUGGUCGUCGUCGUCGGUUUGGGACCACCGAGCGAUGCUGAGGUUGGCUUUGUGCGGAAAUCUAAGCAGAAGUUGUCCGACAGCCUGUGAGGAUCGCUCAGUCCAACAGGUGGUGCAGAGAAUUUUGACUCGGAGGUGUUUACUGUCAAUAGUGCUUUAGGAUAAUUGAGUUGUCAUCGAGCUUAGGCUGAUAAUUAUCCUUGCUAUUUUUAUUUAGUUUUAUUCUAAGUGGAUUCGGCUCCUAGAAGUGCACGUCUAAUAUUAUUAGAUGCUAUGAGUUCAGCCUGUGCAAAUCUGUUAAUGCAUAAGAACAUAAGAAGUUCUUAUGUUGCAGCAGGUCAAAGCAAAGGCACAGCAGAUUAAUAUUUGAUCAUGCAGAGGGGCCCUUAAUCAGAUUUGCGUAUUCCUUCAGACGAGUGCUCUGCAGCAAUUAUCAUGAUUGUUGCACUGAACAUACUUUCUUUGUGUUUUACGGCUGGUGGCGGGGCGUGAGCGUGCACCACGAGGGGGGAUUGCAGCUCCAAACCCCAUUAAUGCAGGCUAAGGGAGACGGAGACGCGGGAGAGGAAAGGCAGGGCCACCGGCCAGGAUUCUGGCCCGACCCAGAGCCGGAGCUGAAGCCCGGAGCCGUGCAGGUAACUCCAACCACCUGGAGCUCCAGCAGGAAUCCCCGCCAUCCGAAGCCCACCUCCUCCAGAGCCGUGAUGUGUCGGCUAAGAAGGGAAAUCAGAGCCACCGCCACACUUUACCCAACAAGCGUCUGUUCAGGGAGAGCAGAGGCAGAGCGAGAACGUUGUAGCUGAAAAAAAAAAGAAAUCAGUUUAAAUCUUUGAUUUUUUUUCACUUUGUCUAAUUUAUUAAACAUGUUUUCUUUA